AAAUAACAAUGAUUUCCCUAGUAACGGCGAGUGAAGAGGAAAGAGCUCAAAGUUGGAAACUGUUUGGCUUAGCUAAACCGUAUUGUAAACUGUAGAAACAUUUUCCUGGCACGCCGGAUUAAUAAGUCCUUUGGAACAAGGCAUCAUGGAGGGUGAGAAUCCCGUCUUUGAUCCGAGUAGUUGUCUUUUGUGAUAUGUUUUCAAAGAGUCAGGUUGUUUGGGAAUGCAGCCUAAAUUGGGUGGUAAAUCUCACCUAAAGCUAAAUAUUUGCGAGAGACCGAUAGCGAACAAGUACCGUGAGGGAAAGAUGAAAAGAACUUUGAAAAGAGAGUUAAACAGUAUGUGAAAUUGUUAAAAGGGAACCGUUUGGAGCCAGACUGGUUUGACUGUAAUCAACCUAGAAUUCGUUCUGGGUGCACUUGCAGUCUAUACCUGCCAACAACAGUUUGAUUUGGAGGAAAAAAUUAGUAGGAAUGUAGCCUCUCGAGGUGUUAUAGCCUACUAUCAUACUCUGGAUUGGACUGAGGAACGCAGCGAAUGCCAUUAGGCGAGAUUGCUGGGUGCUUUCGCUAAUAAAUGUUAGAAUUUCUGCUUCGGGUGGUGCUAAUGUUUAAAGGAGGAACACA
rnacentral:rRNA from 2 species